rnacentral:tRNA from 1 species
GCCUGUGGCUCAGAGUAGGGUGCCGGCCCCAUAUGCUGGAGGUGGCAGGUUCAAACCCUGUCCCAGGCA